CCACCCUUGUAGUGUUGAUGUUCUAACGUCGACCCCUUAUCGGGGUUGCGGACAGUGCCUGGUGGGUAGUUUGACUGGGGCGGUCUCCUCCCAAAGAGUAACGGAGGAGCACGAAGGUGGGCUAAUCACGGUUGGACAUCGUGAGGUUAGUGCAAUGGCAUAAGCCCGCUUGACUGCGAGAAUGACAAUUCGAGCAGGUGCGAAAGCAGGUCAUAGUGAUCCGGUGGUUCUGAAUGGAAGGGCCAUCGCUCAACGGAUAAAAGGUACUCCGGGGAUAACAGGCUGAUACCGCCCAAGAGUUCAUAUCGACGGCGGUGUUUGGCACCUCGAUGUCGGCUCAUCACAUCCUGGGGCUGAAGUCGGUCCCAAGGGUAUGGCUGUUCGCCAUUUAAAGUGGUACGCGAGCUGGGUUUAGAACGUCGUGAGACAGUUCGGUCCCUAUCUGCCGUGGGCGUUGGAAGAUUGAAGGGGGCUGCUCCUAGUACGAGAGGACCGGAGUGGACGAACCUCUGGUGUUCGGGUUGUGUCGCCAGACGCAUUGCCCGGUAGCUAAGUUCGGAAUCGAUAACCGCUGAAAGCAUCUAAGCGGGAAGCGAGCCCUGAGAUGAGUCUUCCCUGAUACUUUAAGUAUCCUAAAGGGUUGUCGGAGACUACGACGUUGAUAGGUCAGGUGUGUAAGUGCUGUGAGGCAUUGAGCUAACUGAUACUAAUUGCCCGUGAGGCUUAACCAU
rnacentral:rRNA from 1 species